CUUCAGCCGUAUUUUCAUUAACUUAAAAAAAAAAACUUUUCUCGUCCUUUGACCUUUGAUUCGGUUUGUCCAUGAUGCUCUGCUGAAUCUCAGAUGUACACA